UCAGUUGAGCUUUUCGAUUCCGAUCGGUUCGUUCAGUUACUAAAGUUAGUUCCAACCAAACGCACAAAAAGAAAUAUAUAUGUACAUAUAUUCCAAAUAUAAUCGCAAUAUUCCAAUUUUCAAAUACCGUUUCAAAUUUGUUGCAACAUUUUCCAAUUGCAUUUUCAAAUUCGUACACUGCUGUACGCACACACGCACUCUCGUGGAUAAGGACUCUGUUCUUGUUUUUUUUUAAAACUUUUUUUGACAAGUGCAGCCGCGAAAAAGGGGCAAAAGAUCCGAUCCACGAAAGAUCGGAAAGAUCUUUGCGCGAUUCGCGCGCGAUUUGCAGAAGAAGGAGCAGAGCAGAGGCCAAUAAGGAUAAAGGAUAAAGGAUACAGAUACAGGAAGUGAAUCAGUGAACAAUUAGAGACUCUUCCUCGCAUGCUCGCGCCGCAAUGUGCGUGGACUGUGUGCAAACACUGACAAAGGCCGAAUGCAGCCGCAAGAUCAGGACAGAUCCUUGCCCGCAACCCGCACCUCGCACCUUGCAACCUUGUGUGGCUUUAGUCAGAGAGUGAGAGACCCUCACUCAACCGCAACUUCAACCUCAACUUUGACCUCAGCAACUCAGCACAGACACCGUACUCAGGAAUCCACAGGAUUAAGACCCCCAGCAGCAGUAGAACGAUGCUUGCAACGGGUGGCAGGGGCAGGGGGCCAGGGGGCAAGCAGGCCAGAAAAAUGGGACAACAACAAAGGCCAAAUGAAGAGACAGAGAGAGAGAGAGGGAAACACGCACACAACCACAAAACGAGAUGCGGGGGCUCAAAAUCCCCAGUCUACGACUAGCCUCUGCCUGCCCCACAGCCUGCCCCUGGCACUUUGCUGCUUUGGUUAGUUGUUAGGGCGACCGAGACCGAGACCGAGACCCACAGACCAGAGACCAGACAGAGGCGACAGGCAACAACAAUGUGCCACAUCCAACAUCCAGAUUCCCUUCCCACCCGCCAUUACCAUCCGCAUCCCCACAAAAGCCACAAAGACCGGUACCUACUCUUGCCGCACAGACACAAACACACACAUGCAACACAGUGGCAGAGUGGCAAAGUGGCAAAGUCGGGGAGUCGGGAGCCUAGGUGACGUAAUGGCUACUACUCCACUAACACAUUUUUCUGCAUUCCUGCACCGCGUGCUGCUGCCAGAGGGAGACCAGCAGCAGUAGCUGCAGCUACAGGAAGAUGGGGCAGAAAGGGGGCAGCAAGGGGGCAUGCAGCGGAGAGUCGCACGACGACGCGAGAGAAAAACUGAAUGAAAAUUGCAGCCAACGAAGCGUGUGCCUAGCGAAAAAGGGAAAAAAAGAAAAAGAAAAAAAACCGAGAAGCACGAAACUAGAGACAGAGGAAGCCAAAGACCAGAAAGCAGACUACGACAACAGAUAUAGAGAUAGAGAGAGAGAGAGAGAGAAGGAGAGGGACGACUUACACACGUGGUGGAGCCAUGGAGGAUGGUUGGAGGAUGGGGAUAGGAAUGGAUGAUGAUGAUGAUGAUGGCACUAGAAAAAGCAAAAACAAAAAAAAAACAGAGACUCGCCAAACUGGUGGCCGCCGCCUGACGAGGAGACUAGACAGGGAGACAGGUCUGAGGGAGGCAGAGAGAUAGCUCAGAGUGUAUAUGUAUAUAUUUAUGUAGUGUGUGCGUGUGUGUGUGUGUGUGUGUGUGUGGUGUGUGUGUGUGUGUGUGCGAGUGGCCGACAUUCAAGGUUGACUGCAAUUGUUGCAGCAGCCGCGGCAGCCUCUUCCUCUGCCUUCCAAUCAUGCAAUCGAGACGUGUUCCAGGAACCACAGAGAGAGAGAGUUCCAGUCCAGUGUUCCACAGAGAGGGAGACAGAGAAAGAGCGAUUAACAGUAAAGCUGAAGAAGCGAACACUAAAACAUUGCAGGGCUUCUUCCGCUGAAAAGGGACUAACGGGAAAUAGGAGAGAAAGAAAGAGAAGAAAAGAAAGGAAAGAAAAGGAAAGGAGAAGGAGAGAAGUAGAGAAGAGACUAUCCGCCCCGUUUGCCAUUUACAGUUAAUCAAAAUGACAGAAGUUGGUCGGCUCUGCAGCCUGACGGAGUUCUUCGCUGUCGCUCCCGAAGUUCUCGUGGGGGCAAUUAGAAGAAGCCUCUACCAAGAGUGGAUGAGGGGUGUGCAGAGUGUGGUGAGUGUGGUGGGGGGGCGGCGGCAGCGGCAGCGGCGGCAGUACUUCCGCUAGCCUUGGCUCUCAAUCAACAGAACAGAAGAAAGAGGCACAGCCGGCGGCCAAUUGAGGCGGUCGGUCGCACAAGUGGACACACCAUACAGAUAGAUACAGAUACACCAUUUCCUAUAAUAGCUCCCUCUCCCACCCUUUUUUGAGGUGACUCAUUCGAGAGAGAGAGGUAGUAAGAGAGAGAGGGGAGAGAGGGGGAGUGAGAGCACUUGUUUGGCUGCAACUUCAAAGCACAUCCACAUGAACAUGCACACACGUUGCAGCGACAGACAGAUGCAAUAACAAACAACUUGUACACAAAGCCAGCCAUAAUAAUAAUGAUCAUGAUCAUGAUGACGAUGAUGAUGAUGGUGCCAUUCAAGGCCACGCGACGACGACUCUGGAAGGAGAGAAGACUAGCAAAAACAAACAGAAAAAAGAGACAGAAACACACACAAAAGAAAGACAGAAACAGAAACAGCAACAGAAACAACAGCAAUAACAACCAAGUGCAUGGUUAUCGCUAUCGACAAAGUAGGCACAGAUCAUGGGGAUCAUGGAGCAGUAGUGGCAGCAGGGGAACAGUGGAAUUGUGCAAAGGGAGCAGAGGGAAUGCGAAGGCGAAUGCGAAUGCGAGGAAUAUGUAGGCUGGUCGGGCUCCAAUCGAGAGUCAAGUUCUCGGAAACGGUUACUCCAAGGCCAAGCCCUGGAGAUAGACAAACAAAUGGCAAGGAGGAGGCGGUUGAGGGACAAAGGAAGCAAAUAGGAGAGAAGUAGGGACAAAGGCAAAAGGAGGGGACAAAGACAGCACAAGAGGCAGAAGAGUGAAAAGAGGGUGAGAAGACUAGACA